rnacentral:rRNA from 1 species
GUGGGGAAUAUUGGACAAUGGGGGCAACCCUGAUCCAGCCAUGCCGCGUGUGUGAAGAAGGCCUUUUGGUUGUAAAGCACUUUAAGCGAGGAGGAGGCUUACCUGGUUAAUACCCGGGAUAAGUGGACGUUACUCGCAGAAUAAGCACCGGCUAACUCUGUGCCAGCAGCCGCGGUAAUACAGAGGGUGCAAGCGUUAAUCGGAUUUACUGGGCGUAAAGCGCGCGUAGGUGGCUAAUUAAGUCAAAUGUGAAAUCCCCGAGCUUAACUUGGGAAUUGCAUUCGAUACUGGUUAGCUAGAGUAUGGGAGAGGAUGGUAGAAUUCCAGGUGUAGCGGUGAAAUGCGUAGAGAUCUGGAGGAAUACCGAUGGCGAAGGCAGCCAUCUGGCCUAAUACUGACACUGAGGUGCGAAAGCAUGGGGAGCAAACAGGAUUAGAAACCCGGGUAGUCC